rnacentral:rRNA from 1 species
ACUUCUACGGGAGGCAGCAGUGGGGAAUAUUGCACAAUGGGCGCAAGCCUGAUGCAGCAACGCCGUGUGAGUGAAGAAGGUUUUCGGAUCGUAAAACUCUGUCCUAAGGGAAGAAACAAAUGACGGUACCUUAGGAGGAAGCCCCGGCUAACUACGUGCCAGCAGCCGCGGUAAUACGUAGGGGGCAAGCGUUAUCCGGAAUCACUGGGCGUAAAGGGUGCGUAGGCGGCUUAGCAAGCCAGGGGUGAAAGGCAUUGGCUCAACCAAUGUAAGCCUUUGGAACUGUUAAGCUUGAGUGCAGGAGAGGUAAGUGGAAUUCCUAGUGUAGAGGUGAAAUUCGUAGAUAUUAGGAGGAACACCAGUGGCGAAGGCGACUUACUGGACUGUAACUGACGCUGAUGCACGAAAGCGUGGGUAGCGAACAGGAUUAGAUACCCUGGUAGCACAGAG